rnacentral:rRNA from 1 species
UACGAAGGGGGCUAGCGUUGCUCGGAUUGACUGGGCGUAAAGGGCGCGUAGGCGGUUCGUACAGUCAGACGUGAAAUUCCUGGCUCAACCUGGGGGCUGCGUUUGAUACGUGCGGACUUGAGUGCGGAAGAGGGUCGUGGAAUUCCCAGUGUAGAGGUGAAAUUCGUAGAUAUUGGGGAGAACACCGGUGGCGAAGGCGGCGACCUGGUCCGAUACUGACGCUGAGGAGCGAAAGCGUGGGGAGCGAACAGG